rnacentral:rRNA from 1 species
GUGCCAGCAGCCGCGGUAAUACGGAGGAGGCAAGCGUUAUCCGGAAUUAUUGGGCGUAAAGCGUCCGUAGGUGGUGAGUCAAGUCUGCUGUUAAAACGUGGAGCUUAACUCCAUAUCGGCAGUGGAAACUGGCUUGCUAGAGUGCGAUAGGGGCAAGGGGAAUUCCCAGUGUAGCGGUGAAAUGCGUAGAUAUUGGGAAGAACACCGGUGGCGAAAGCGCCUUGCUGGGUCUGCACUGACACUGAGGGACGAAAGCUAGGGGAGCGAAAGGGAUUAGAUACCCUGGUAGUCCUAGCCCUAAACGGUGCUUGCUUGCUGUAAGAGGAAUCGACCCCUCUUGUGGCGGAGCUAACGCGUUAAGCAAGCCGCCUGGGAAGUACGGUCGCAAGAUUAAAACUCAAAGAAAUUGACGGGA